UUUCUAGAAAAUUUCUCCACAAACUGAGAGCUCCAGAAUUGAUGACUCAGAGUGAACCGAGGAGAUCACUACUGUGCACAAGUUUGCCUCCAAACAACUGGGUGAUGCCUCCAAACAGACCUGGAAUCAUCCAUUUCUCCAAGGAUCUCUGCUUCUUCUUGUAAAAUAGGCUAUUUAAGGACUACAAUCUGAGCAUUAAGGGACUGUCCUUAUUAGAAGAGGAAACUUGGACACAGAUACACACAGAGGGAGCACCGUGUGAAGACACAGAGAGGAGAUGGCCAGCUACCAGCCAAGCAGAGAGCCCUUACUGUAAACCAACCCUGCCGCAUCCUGAUCUCAGAAUUUUGGCUUCCAGAACUUUCCAGCUACUAGGGAGGCUGAAGCAAGAGAAUGGCAUGAACCUGGGAGGCGGAGCUUGUCGUGAGCCCAGAUCAGGCCACUGCACUCCAGCCGGGGCAACAGAGCGCAACUCCGUCUCAAAACAAACAAACAAAACAAAACAAAAAAAACUUAUAGACAAGUACAAAAUGAGAAGAAAAAGUCCCUUUCCCUUCAUGCCUCUACUUCCUGCUGUAUUCUCAAAGAACUAUCAUAGGAACAUACUGGGAAAACCAAAAGAAUUCACGGAUCCUUUGAAAGAAGACGCACACCACUGUAAAUUCUGUGGAACAGGAGAAAAACUGUCUUGGAGGAAGGCAUCCUUCUAUUCUACUGAUCAGAAAGCUGGACAAAGUCCCACUGCCAGGCUACACAGUUGGUGCCAUUUGCGGAGGUGACCUUUGACCUUUAACCCACGCGGCCACCCGCCCGAGCUCUUACCCCUGCUGCCCCUCGCGCGUCCCACUCCCCGUCCCUGCCGGAUCCGCUUCCCUGCGCUGGGCCCAGCGCGCCGCCAGGGAAGGGGCCGGAGCCUGGGAGCCCGCCCCGCCGUCGCCCGUCCUCCGCCCGCAGGCCCACCCGCAGCGGUCACGUGAAGGACCGAGCGCCGCGCGCCCAGGCGGGGCCUCCGGCCUGCACGAGGAGGGCAGAGUCCGUUGCGGCUGCCGCCCCGACGCCCGCGCAUCCCCGCUCGCCGCGCCCGCCGCCGCGAUGUCCGGGGCCGGCCUAGCCGCGGUGGUGAGCUGCCUGCGCCCGCAGCCCGGCGAGGAGCCGCAGACCCAUGAGGACCUUCUCCUGGCAGCUGCCUAUGUUUUGGAUGCCCAGUACAACAGAAAUGUUCCAUUUGAAACUCACCUCAGGCCAUCAGACGUUACUAUUUUUAUAACCACUAGACAACGCAGGUUGCCGCAUACUUCUUUAUUUGUGUAGACCUCGCUCUUGCCCUGUUUGAAGAGUCUGAGUUGCUUCCCCUGCCUUUCUUGGCCACCUCAAUAGCAGAAGUACUCUGCCUGACUGCAUACUUUGGCAGACUGGUACAUUUUGCAAAAGUCACUCCUCAAAUGGUUUUCUGGAAGGAUACAAAAGACAUCUGCACCAUGGUAACCACAGUGGCGAGUGUUCAUUGUAGUACCUGUAAGAGUUUAUGACCGAAGGCAGGAGCCAUGAAGAAAAAAGACUCAAUAGAUUUGCUUUUGAUGAAACAACAACACUUCCAUACAGUGAACGCCAUAAGCACAACUGCAAGCAAACCCCAAACUGAAGAACAAAUAGGGCAAAAUGUGGCAGUGCAGACAUUUCAGCAUAUCAAGAGCACUUCCAAAUUACAGGAAAAAAAAGAUAUCUCAAUAGAUAAUUUUGCUGAAGAUAAGUGAAGGCAACUCAUAAGGAAAAAAUAUGUAAAAUGGCCGAUAGGAAAGAUGUUUAACGUCACUAAUUAAAAAUUAUAGAAUAAAACGACAAUAAAAUACCA
rnacentral:lncRNA from 1 species